rnacentral:rRNA from 1 species
UACGUAGGGGGCAAGCGUUGUCCGGAUUUAUUGGGCGUAAAGAGCGUGUAGGCGGUUAGGUAGGUCCGUUGUGAAAACUCGAGGCUCAACCUCGAGACGCCGAUGGAAACCAUCUGACUAGAGUCCGGAAGAGGAGAGUGGAAUUCCUGGUGUAGCGGUGAAAUGCGUAGAUAUCAGGAUGAACACCCGUGGCUAAGGCGGCUCUCUAGUACGGUACUGACGCUGAGACGCGAAAGCGUGGGGAGCGAACAGG